rnacentral:rRNA from 1 species
GGCGAACGCUGGCGGCGUGCUUAACACAUGCAAGUCGAACGGGCCUGCCCUUAUUGGGGGGGGUUGCGUGGCGAACGGGUGGGUAGCACGUGAGUAACCUGCCCCCUGCCCCUGGCUAACGCGCUGAAAGGGGUGCUAAUACGCGGUGUGCUGGUGCUGCCGCAUGGUGGUGCCGGGAUAGCUUCCCCUUUUUCUUGGGGUUCUGGUGGGGGGUGGGCUCGCGGCCUAUGCGGUUGUUGGUGGGGCGAUGGCCUGCCACGGUGGUGAGGGGGAGCGGGAGUGAGAGGGUGGACGGCCACACUGGGACUGGGACCCGGCCCAGACUCGUGCGGGAGGCAGCAGUGGGGGGUAUUGCGGAAUGGGCGGAAGCCUGACGCAGCGACGCCGCGUGGGGGACGGAGGCCUUCGGGUUGUGAACCUCUUUCGCAGGUGGGGAAGGCGCCCCCGUGUGGGGUGCUGACUGUAGCCGGGUUAAGAAGCGCCGGCUAACUACGUG